ACUCAAAGGAAUUGACGGGGGCCCGCACAAGCGGCGGAGCAUGUUGCUUAAUUCGAUGCAACGCGAAGAACCUUACCUGGGUUUGACAUGCGGGGAAAAGCCACAGAGAUGUGGUGUCCUACGGGGCCUCGCACAGGUGGUGCAUGGCUGUCGUCAGCUCGUGUCGUGAGAUGUUGGGUUAAGUCCCGCAACGAGCGCAACCCUUGUCCUGUGUUGCCAGCGGGUAAAGCCGGGGACUCGCAGGAGACUGCCGGGGUCAACUCGGAGGAAGGUGGGGAUGACGUCAAGUCUUCAUGCCCCUUACAUCCAGGGCUGCAAACAUGCUACAAUGGCCGGUACAAAGGGCUGCUAUCCCGCGAGGGUGAGCGAAUCCCAAAAAGCCGGUCUCAGUUCGGAUUGGAGUCUGCAACUCGACUCCAUGAAGUCGGAGUCGCUAGUAAUCCCGGAUCAGCAACGCCGGGGUGAAUACGUUCCCGGGCCUUGUACACACCGCCCGU
rnacentral:rRNA from 1 species